rnacentral:rRNA from 1 species
UUGAUCUCAAAUCAGGUAGGACUACCCGCUGAACUUAUAGCAUAUCAAUAAGCGGAGGAAAAGAAACUAACAAGGAUUCCCCUAGUAACUGCGAGUGAAGCGGGAAGAGCUCAAAUUAUAAAAUCUGGCGUGCCUAUGGUCGUCCGAGUUGUAGUCUGGAGAAGUGUUUUCCGUGUUGGACC